AGGACUAACGCUGGCGGCGUGCCUAACACAUGCAAGUCGAACGGGGUAGCAAUACCCAGUGGCAGACGGGUGAGUAACACGUGGUCAACCUACCUCUGUGUGGGGGAUAACUAGCCGAAAGGUUAGCUAAUACCGCAUACGAUCGUUUUGAGGCAUCUCGAGACGAUGAAAGGAGCAAUCCGCACGGAGAGGGGGACUGCGUCCCAUUAGUUAGUUGGUGGGGUAACGGCCUACCAAGACUCCGAUGGGUAGCUGGCUUGAGAGAGCGACCAGCCACACUGGAGCUGAGAAACGGUCCAGACUCCUACGGGAGGCAGCAGUGAGGAAUUUUCCGCAAUGGGCGAAAGCCUGACGGAGCGACGCCGCGUGUGGGAUGAAGGCCUUCGGGUCGUAAACCACUGUCGAAGGGGACGAUAAUGACGGUACCCUUGGAGGAAGCCCCGGCUAACUACGCGCCAGCAGCCGC
rnacentral:rRNA from 1 species